GCCCGCUUGGCUCAGUGGUAGAGCACUCGCUUCACACGCGAGGGGUCAAUGGUUCGAAUCCAUUAGCGGGCA
rnacentral:tRNA from 1 species